GGAUUAGAUACCCUGGUAGUCCACGCCGUAAACGAUGAGUACUAGAUGUUUGGAGGAUUGAUCCCUCUGAGUGUCACAGCUAACGCAUUAAGUACUCCACCUGGGGAGUACGGUCGCAAGACUAAAACUCAAAGGAAUUGACGGGGGCCCGCACAAGCGGUGGAACAUGUGGUUUAAUUCGAUGCAACGCGAAGAACCUUACCUGGGCUUGACAUCCUAUGACAGUCUAAGAAAUUAGAUUUUCUCUUCGGAGACAUAGUGACAGGUGCUGCAUGGCUGUCGUCAGCUCGUGCCG
rnacentral:rRNA from 1 species